rnacentral:rRNA from 1 species
UACGUAGGUGGCAAGCGGUGUCCGGAUUUACUGGGCGUAAAGAGCGCGCAGGCGGUCGUUCAAGUCGCGUGUGAAAGCCCCCGGCUCAACUGGGGAGGGUCACGCGAUACUGAUCGACUCGAAGGCAGGAGAGGGAAGUGGAAUUCCCGGUGUAGUGGUGAAAUGCGUAGAUAUCGGGAGGAACACCAGUGGCGAAGGCGACUUCCUGGCCUGUUCUUGACGCUGAGGCGCGAAAGCUAGGGGAGCAAACGGG